GACGAACGCUGGCGGCGUGCUUAACACAUGCAAGUCGAACGGAAAGGCCCUGCUUUUGUGGGGUGCUCGAGUGGCGAACGGGUGAGUAACACGUGAGUAACCUGCCCUUGACUUUGGGAUAACUUAAGGAACCUGGGGCUAUUACCGGAUAGGAGUCCCUGCUGCAUGGUGGGGGUGGGAAAGUUUCGGCGGUUGGGGAUGGACUCGCGGCUUAUCAGCUUGUUGGUGGGGUAGUGGCUUACCAAGGCUUUGACGGGUAGCCGGCCUGAGAGGGUGACCGGCCACAUUGGGACUGAGAUACGGCCCAGACUCCUACGGGAGGCAGCAGUGGGGAAUAUUGCACAAUGGGCGGAAGCCUGAUGCAGCAACGCCGCGUGCGGGAUGACGGCCUUCGGGUUGUAAACCGCUUUCGCCUGUGACGAAGCGUGAGUGACGGUAAUGGGUAAAGAAGCACCGGCUAACUACGUG
rnacentral:rRNA from 1 species